UACCCAGGAGUCCGAAUGAAAGGCAC
rnacentral:piRNA from 1 species